AGAGAAAGAGAACAAGAUCAGCAUCUCAUCAACGUUAAUAAUUCAAGGAAAUGAACACUGGGAUACGUGAUAGUGCUGUCAAAACAGCUUGGUUUACAGCUUAGUUACACCCGGAGCAGGGUUCAGCUUUUUAUGAUCCGUAAGUGAUUUGAAUUGGUCUGAAAACAGCGUCAUUAUACAAUGUCCUUUCAUUCUGUUGAAAUGGAAAAAGUCCUCGAUAUGGCAUCAAAAAGGGUGGCCCAAGGUUUGCUCAUGAAUUGAAAGAGUGGUUUUCAUGAGGCGCUGCUCUACAGCUAUCAAAACCCAGUGGCAAGAACAAUUCCCUGCUGUACACACAAGUAUUCUCUGGUGUUUGCGUGUGGACCGUCAUGAAGAGCCCUUCAAUCUGCAUUUGGUUGAGGCGUCACAGCUUAUGCUAUUCAGAAGUAUGAGUGAUGUUAAAAUCUGCUGACAGAAAACAGCUGAAAUCAUACAACCAGGGAGCACUGAAAUUCAGUUCCAUGCCUUUUCACAGGACAUCAGCCCCCAUUGACUUUACAGCCAAGGUGAAUUGUUGAGCAACCACCUAUUUAAUGUGAAUCUGAGAUUCUGAGUUUUCUGAGAGAAACAGGAUAUUCAACAAGAAAAAUGCAGUAUGGAUACAUACGUCACUGAAAGUCACUGAAGCAAUGCCUAAAAGUCUUGUUGGCUAGUGGUUAACAUUACGCAAUAGGCCACAUCACAUCAGCGUCACAGGAAACUUGAUUCACAGAAAGUAGUUACUACACUUUAAGAAAAAAUUACAAACGUAAGUCUGGUUUUUUUUUUCUAGGAAUAACAUGCAUAAAAAGACCAAACACAUGCGUAAUAGUAAAUCAAAGAGUGAAAUCAAAGAGAGUAUGAAAUAUCAAAGAUAUAAACCAUCUGAUAUGAUUCCUAUUUGUAAACGGAUCAUUUUUAUGCACGUGCAUUGAUACAAGUGAUCAUCCAGAUUUAGCUAUAUUGUGUUUAAAGUAUGGUCUAGCACAUAUCAGGGCCGAGAGACUAAGAGUUCAAGACAAUUAAGAGAUUUAAAUAUUGGUUGGUUUUGUUCUAAGUGACAGUAAUCGAUUAUCAAAAAGUAUUAAUGAAAAUAUGAUCGAUGUUGCAGUCUGAUGCUCAGGCAAUAUUAUACUUUUUUUUUUUUCCACAUUAAAUACAUUACAUUGAUACAUUACUUUUCAAUAAGCUUCUUUAUUACACGACAAACAUUGCUUAAAAAUGAGACAAACUAAAAAACAAAUAAAAAUUAUAAUAAAUAUUUAAUAAUUUUAUAAUAGAAGAAAUUUAAUAAAAAUGUAAUAUUACUACUACUAAUCAUAAUUAUAACAAAUAACAACAUUAUUAUUGUAUAUAGCUAUUAUUAUUACUACUACAACUAUUAAUAAUAUAAAACUAUACUCAUAAUACCUAUAUGUACAUACAGUCAAACCAAAAUUUAUUCAGACACCUUGAACAUUUCAUUCAUUAAUAAAGUUUAUUCACUAUAGUUUAAAAAAAAUGGCAAUAAAAUAUAACAAGAUCUUAAAGUUAAACUGUGUCAGAAAAAAAUAAUCUUAAUUAUAUAAGUUAACACUAAUGCUAAACAAGGUCAGGUCAAAGUGUCUGAAUAUUUUUUGGUCCCAAAUUUUUAUCAAUUUUACUAGUAGUCCACUGUAUGAAGAAUUUUUGGGUAUAAUGUCACAGUUUACUUUAUUUUGCUAUCCUCACUUACAUAAAUGAAACAUAGUGUCCUGCACCCACUAGAAAAAAAAAUAUAUAUAAAAAAAUUAUAUAUCUAGUGUCUGAAUAAUUUUUGGUUUGACUGUGUAUAUUUCAGUAAUCUAAUGGUCAUGUAAUUAUAUCAAAAGCAGAAAGUAAUUAUAAUCUGUUCUUCCAAAUAUCAGUUCCUGGACAGCUGAAUAUAAAAAUAACUUGUAUGUGUCAUAAAAGGGCAGCUAAUUUAUAGAAUCAGUUCAUCCCUAAUGAUCCUGCAAUCUUUUGGUUAGAAGCCCAGAUCUUUGACCACUACGCUACACUGCACCAGACAAGAAGCAGUUGUUUUGAUGUCGGGUCAUUAGACAUUAAACACACUGGCUACAGUAAUAUGCUACUCAAGGUCAGGUAAACAUGGGUAAUGUGAUAUGAAAAUGACAUGUCAAUACUCCUGGAUAAUAAAUGAAGAGAGUGAUGGAAUCAUAUUGUAUGAAUCAUUUAAGGAAAGUAAAAACACAGGCCUCGAGCCUAGUUCCUCUUGGAGUAGGUCCAGGUGCACCAUUGUGUUUUCACACACUAUGGCAUGAUUACGUGGAGAUCUGCGGUAUUGCGACGGGGCGUCUUGAGUAUCCGCUUUUAGACAUGAAUUUCAGUGCACAAAAGACGCAAGCAAUGCAGGAGGAAAAACAAGCCCCCUCAGCCUCUGGCUUUACCGUAGUGCGUCAAAGGGAGAAGUGUGAGAAAAUGUGUAAAAGAUUUCCGUUUCCAACCAGUUGUUACGUGUGCUGGUUUGUGGUCAUGUGAUGAUGAUGAACAGUGGGCGAUGAAGAAGUGCGGGAUUGCAUCACAGCUUCAGGAAUGCGGCUGCAUCAAUGAGAUCCUUGUGGAAAAGUGUGGAGAAUGUGACCUUUCUCCACCUCCUCCUCAUCAUCAGAUGGACGCAGCCCAACUCUUCAUCACAUGUGCAAAUGUGUUUGGACCGAGGGCAUCCAAACAAUUAUUCCUUCAAUGAAAAGUCACUGUUGUACACUACCAGUCAAACUCAAAUUCAAAUUCUGUUUCAUUAUAUUUCAUACAUUUUUUUCGAAAGACUUCUGCUUCUGCGUUUUGUAGAAAAAUACACAUUUUUCUCAAAUAUUGAUUUCUUUAUAUGUUACAAAAAAAUGAAAUGGACCAGGUAUGGGUCAAUGACAAAUAAGUGUCCAAGCUGAAGCAAAGUAAAAAUCUAGUUCUUGAAUGCAUUCUUGGUAUUCAUGUUGGCUUUGAAAAACUACUCUUUUAAAAAAAAGUUUAAACUUAAUGAUGUCACCAAAUGUCAUAUGGUGUAACUAUCAAGUAAAAAGUUACAUAUUUUCCUAUAUGUGUUACAUGUGAACAAAUCUCAAUCAUUGUUUUUAAGAAGGUAAACUGUUUUUAAGAGUUGACAAAAGUUGGCAUGACAUUUUACUGCCUGAUCUAACCUUGCCUUGUUACAAAAAGGUCAAAUUUUGUGAUAUAUUUGAAAAGAAUUCCUGACCUUAACACAGUCAUGAGGGUCUGCAGGGUCGCCUGUCUAUGAUAUCAUUUCCUAUUUAUUUAUUAAUUAUUCGCUGCACACUGGUUGCACAAUGUGACUUUGAUUUGUCAGUCAAAAUUUUAUUUAAAUAAAAAAAAAAAAAAAAAAAAAAUAGCUUCAAUUUCUUUUUUCCUCUAAGAAAUUAUAAAACUAUAAACAAGAUUACAGCAAACUACAAGGUUUUCUUGUCAAUAAUGUUUUUCUUCAUUAUGAUAGCAGGAUGGUUUAUACAACCCAAAAAUAUGAAAAUUAAUUUGAAUUAAAAAUUAAAAACAUGUUCACCAUUUUUAAAUGUAUUUUUGAAUAAAUUUAUAGAUUUGGACAAAGUCACUGACACAUACAUGAGUUCAACUGGAAAAAAAUAGAAAAAGUGUUCAGAAUCAAAAGCAUCCCAGGAUGCACCUAAUGAAGUUUGUUAAACGAACUUUCAGAGUGUGAAGAGCUGGAGACUAAACCAGUGUUAUUGUCACUUUAUUAUAAAUAUUUUAAAUUGGCUUUUAUUUUUAUAUUUCCUGAUUUCAUUUUAAUUAAGUAUUUUAGUUUAGUUAAUUUUAGUUAUUUUAGUACUUCAAAUUUUAUUUUGCCUUGGCAACUAGCAGCAAUAAAAUAAGUUUAACAUUUUUUUCCAAGUAACAAAACUGUUUUUAAUUUUUGUUUUUAAAUGGUUUUAGUUUUAGGUCAGGUCAUAUGGGCUAGAAUUAUGGUGCUUUUUAUGUCGUAUUUUGGCAUUUUCAAGCUCAAAAUCCCCUGUCUGUUUGGCAAAGAAAUUAUGGAAAAGAACACCAGGAACCUUCUGCAAGAUCUAUACGGUUCCACAAGAAACAGUCAAACAGCACUUUCAGGAAGCAAUGAUAAGAAUGCAAAUGUGGUAAGGUCAGUAAGGUUAUAACAGCCACGGCUGUUCAUCUUUCACAACUAUGUUUGGCUGUUGCGGAAAGUUUGGGCAGAGAGUGAUAGCGAAUAAGAACACGCUGCUCUCCAGAGGCCUCCUCUUAUCAGUCAUAAUAAACACACGACUGGUGACGUCGACUUGUGGAGGGAAAUGGGUGUGCUUGCCCCGAAUCCAAGCAAGUUCAGGGCGGAGGUUGAGUGUUUCCCUUUUAACACACUAGCAGACAAUGACAGCCAGAUCCUGUAACAAUUAGCGUAGCUGACGUUAAGACAUCUACACGGUGUGUGUAAGAGCUACAGGGAAGUGGAAGGCUGAGGACUGAGAGCAGUUGAGAAGAGCUGUGAGAUUAUUCAGCAUCCAGUCGAGACUGUACAACUGCACAACCGCUACUGCACAUUUCUUUUACAAACUGUAAUUUUCUGAUCUUUUCAUUCUAGACAUUUACUCUCCUGAGAUUUAAACACAGGCAUGCAUAAUUUGGCAAUUUGCAGUGCGUGGGAAAAUAUGGUUUUACUUCCUAUUGGUGCUGACAGCGUCAUGUGACGCAUGUCAUGCGAUACAUCCCUCGGAGAGGAUGCAAUUGUCUCUAAGGAGCAACGGAGCUCACCAAGCCAAUAGUAAUGAACACCACAUGGCCUCUACACUAAGCAAAACACAAAACACAUUGAAGGAGGGACCUGAGCCAUAUCUAGAGGCCAGACAAUCAGAGAUCUGGGGCUACCUGGCAACUAGAUAUCAACCAACAUGACCUUAUGACUGUGUUAGGUUUACUGUAAAUCAAAGCAUUUCUAAGUAUGCUGAUUUUAAGGCGGCAGCUGUCUCACUCUGAAGGUGAUGAUACACGGGCCAACUUUUUAAGCAAUGUUGCUGGGCAAUCUUGCCUAGUGAUGAUGCUUGGGCACUUUCCCAUUGAGAACUUUAGAUUGAAAUUUGUUUCCCAUUCUCAAUGGGAAAGCGCCCAAGCCUCAUCGCUCGGCGAGAUUGCCCAGCAACAUUGCUCAAAAAAGUUGCCCCGUGUAUCAUCACCUUGAGAUGGUGAAUGGGAACAUGGUUUGUAUAACAUUAGCAACACAUUAUUAGCUGUUAUUAACGAUACAUAAAACGCAUCACCAUUCUGAUACAAUGACUUAAAAAGUAUAAAAAGUUAUUUUACCUGUGAAUACCUUUUUUUUUUUUUUUUUUUUUUUUUUUUUAAAUUAAAUGAUGCCAUUUAUUGAAGGGCCCUAUACCUUCCGUGACGCAGAAAAUGCAGACAGAAUCACAGAAUCCAGUCAUAAAAAUAGAAUUUAACACGGAACGUUAGUAAAUGGAUGAAUAAACCAAAAGUUGGGCUGUCCAAUUGAUUAAAUUGUGUUAUAGACUAUAUUCUGUGAAUAUUAAAGCACACACAAAAAAUUAAACCUCUAAUUAAACCAGUAAACCUCUGCUGUGCAGCACUUUGCCAAAAAAAAAAAUACAUUGUCAGUUGAUUGCAUUUUUAAAUGAUUAAUUAAAUUGUUAAUGUUUUAUGCCUUUCUUUGAUUACCACCAUAUUUGAUAAAUUUGUAUAAAUCAUUUUAGUUUUAAAAUAAUUUUAGUUAAUAUAGUUUUAGUUAUUUUAGUUGCAGCUAUUUACUAGCUGCAAUAAAAUAAGUUUAACUUUUUUUUUUUUCAAGUAACAAAGAUGUUUUAAUUUUUUUUUUAUGGUUUUAGUUUCAGUUAGAUGGGUCAUAUGGGCUAGAAUUAUGGUGUUUUUUAUGUUUUUUUUUUUUUUUUUUUUAAUUAUUAUUAUUUAUUUUUUUUUCCAUUUUCAAGCUCAAUAUCCCCUGUCUGUUGGCAAAGAAAUUAUGGAAAAAUAACACCAGAACUUUCUACAAGAUCCCCUUAUGGUUCCACAGAAAAGUCAAACAGCACACUAUAUCCAGAAAAAUUAAAACAGACAUUUUUUUUUUUUUUCCCCAGAAAUUUCAUAUUUUUGUAAUAAAUUACAAAUUUAAUCAUUAUUAUGAAUUCAAUAGAUUAGACAUGUUUUUAUUAUUGUAAAAAUGUAAUAUAACCUUUAAAAUGCAAUCCAGAACAGUAAAAAAAAAAAAAAAAAAAAAAAAAAGAAUUAAAAAAAUAAAUAAAACGGAUCUCACACGACGUUUCAUUAUCAGAUGUAAUAUUUAAGAACCAGUGACCAAGCUGUAACUGACCAUGGGUCUAUCUCCACCAGCACAGCCCCAGAACACCCUAGCAACUGCAUAGCAUCAGGUUAAAAACCACUCAGAAAUGCAAGUGCACAGCAGCACCCUGGCAACCAAGCAUAACACUCCAGCACUGUGAUGGAAAGUUUUGCAAGCACCAAAACUGUAAAUGAAAUUCUUCUCACUUAUCGUAACUGUGCAUGUUGGUGCAUCCAAACGUUUGUGUAUGUGUAUGAGCAGGCAGGGAAUGUACAAGAGAGAUUUGCUGCUGGCACAACUUUCACAUCAAACAGACCUCCCACAAUCUGUCCUCCCUCUUUUGUGCCAGUCCACACGGCUCUCUUUAUCCGGAAAACGCCAGCCCAUCAGGCAGCCUUUAACCCUUCGGGUCACCGCUGUUGCCAUGGUUACAGCCGGCCCGAUGGUGGCAGGGGCGAAAACAGUGGACAAUGUGAGAGACACUGCAGCAUUGCUACAUUCCACAACGACAGCACGCCUGAAGGUUACCGGGCUCAUAUGACUUAAAAAAACAGGUCAGUAAUGUUCCAAAAAAAAAAAAAAAAAAAAACACCUGUGGGGUUAUAAAAAAAAAAAAAAAAAAAAAUUUAAAUCACACCUAGAGAACCGCAGAGGAGGAGGAGGAAGUGGCAGCAGGAAAUCCUUCACACGCAUGCUGGCACUGUAAAGUCCAUGCCACUGUUUUGAGGAUGGUUUCCAUGGAUCAUUUACCACUGGAUUUCUGUGUAAUACAGUUCAGGCUUAUAGUUAAAAAACAACGUGACUUGAGAAGCUUACAGGAAAUGGUGAAUGGGAUUCUCUAAUCCCGUUUUAAAGGAAAAUUGCUCAACAACUUUUCAACGUAUUCACAUUGCUCUUUCCCAUUAAUCUAGAGCAGCAACAAAUAAUUGACAGUCAAUAAUAAUGACAGUAAAAAUUUAACUGCGAAAAACUCUUCACUUCACAAAACUCAUUUCUUAAAAAAAAAAAAAAAAGAUGGUAAUAAGUGUAUAGUUUCAUGUGGGUUGCCUUGUCAGGUAGGCUUAUAUUUACAGGAAACAGAAAUUACUAAAAUAAGUUACUGUGAUCAGAGGAAACUGUGUUGCCAUACACUGUCGCAAUACACUGGUAUUGACAUGAUAUUUAAAAAAGGAAAUUUGUUAAUACUACACAUAAUAAUAUCGUAAAUAAUCCAGCGGUAGUUGGUUGACAGUCCAAACAUAGACCAGUCAUAAAAUGGAAAAAAGCAGCGUACAGUUGUGCUAUUGCUGCACAAAAUUAAGUGAGAGGAGAUAAGUGUGAAAACCAGACCCUCUGUUCAUAGAUGCGGUGUCCGCAGGAAAUUCUGAUUAACAGUAAGUUCUUUUUGUGCAGUUAUGGUUCCCUACACUUAUAUAUUGAGUGAUUCACUGGCUAAAAAAAAAGAUUAAACACAAAAUAAACAGUUAAAGAUGAAUUGGACUAAAAGCAUUAAGUGUGCCACACAAGUCCUGAAAAGUGAAGCCAAAAUGUUUCAAUCGCCAGGUUGCUGGAUGCAGUAUAGCUCAUAAACCCUGCCCUCUCCAUGUAAUCUAAUGGGACGUGAGACAAACUAAAACAAUCAAAUUACACUUUAAAAAUUUUUUUUCCAAAGAUGGUUUCUGUCAUUUUAUGUAGCUUUUAAUCACGCUGAUGUAAGUUCAAGUGUUAAUUUCUUUUAAAUAAGUUUAGUUUAUUUCUGAUAAAUAUGCAAAAGAUGCAGGAAAUCUGAAAAAUUCUCAGGACCUGGAGGAUUUUUCCCAAAGAAUAUUGGGCAGUUUAACUGCUCAGGACAAACAAGGGACUCAUGAACAACCAUCAAAAAACAAAAAAUGGUCAUAGAUCAUCCAGGUAACCACACACAGUAUUAAGAAUCAAGGGUUCACAAACUUUUGAGCGGGUCGUUUUUAUAAAUACAGCUAUUUUUUUGUCUUGUGGACUUUAUGUAAACAUUUUUUAUGUAAAAUCUCUUACUCAGGACAGUACUAAAUAAAAAAUAACAUACAUAUUUUUAUGAUCCCUCUUAAUUUGUUAAAAUUAUUCACAUUUUCACAGAUUCUGAAAGGGGUUCACAAACUUUCAAGCAGCACUGAAAAUUCUUGACUUCAGAAGACAUUUAUAAUUGUGAGUAAAUUGUGAUUUUUGGUUGAACUGUUCCUUUAAGCGGUGACCCAUCUGAGAUUUCAGCAUGGCUCUGAUGAAGAUCAUCAAGGCAAAUGAUUCGGCGUGAAUCAGAGGCUCUCGGUGGCUUCCCCUGUGGGAACUCAGUGACCCAUUUCCCGCAGCUCUAUGGACCGGCUCUGACGACCAUUUAGACAAUGGCCACAUUUUAAAUACAACACUGCUUUGCUUGCCUCCACCCCUCCCCCAGCCUGCGGUUAUCGGAGACUCUCUGCUCACAACAGGAAGAUCUCGUCUGCAGUUUCUCUGAUGCAAAGCACUGCUGCCAUCUCUGAGCCUGCGUAAUGUUAAACAGAGCACAAGCGUCGCCAAGAAACUGACGUGUCACCAAGAAACAGCCCCUGCUAAUACACGCUAGACUGUUUGCGGGUGCUGACGUAUACAGUUCUCAGUUCCUGACGGUGAGAAGGAAGCAUUUUCAGAUCCUGUCGCACGGCUCUACAAACAGACAGCACUUCAAGAGCCGACUGACAUGUAGUGUGUCAGAUCCUACUGAAAUGUACGGUUUCUGACAGUGCUGAAGAUAUUUAUAGGGGAGCUGGAUUUGGGUAACACUUCAGCACGGAGCGUUUUGAUCCAAACCGAGCUCGCCGGAGGAAUGCUGGGGCGUCGCGUUUGAAAAAUAGGCCAUGUUUGGAGGGAACAGAAAAAGCCAGGGAGAAAGCGAAAGAGAGAGAAAAACACAGAAAACAUCAAGCAUAACACUGAGAAUAUGCAGUCUGGAGGGAAGAACUGAAAAUAGCACGAUGGAGCUUGAACUGAUGAUCUGAAAUUUAGUCACAGCUCUCUGGAAAUCUAUAUCACUUGGCACAAGUAAUGUAGGGCAAGUUCUGCUUGAAUACUGUAAUACCGCAGGAAAGAUUAUUUAACUUAAUUCAAGGAAGUCAACAUGGAAAUUCCUGCUUCUGGGGGUUUCAAUCAAGAGCAUUAAUGGCUGGACUAACACUUCUAAAGUAAAAAGCAAAAAUUACACUAUGAGCGUAGAAUUAAAAAUAUAACCCUCAAAACAGAAACGGGUCAGACUGGUCGACUUGAUGUCAAGCUGGUCAAUGCAGAAGUAAACAAAGUUACCCUCGUUUUCUAACCAAGUGUUCCCUGAUGUUCAAAUCUGGUGACUUAACAUGUUAAGUAAAUGAAAAAGAUAUUAUGAAAGCACAGUUGAAAAUAUAAACAUGGAAGCAGGGUGGAUCAAAAAGGUUGACUAGUCAUCCAAAAAUCAAUUGCUCAAGUAGACUUAAAGACUAGUUUAUCAACACUGCAAACAGUCUGAUGUGAUUUACUCACAAAUGUUGUUGUGUAGAUCACAAAAUAAAAAUUUCACUUCUAAACUUGAUUCCUUUGCAUUUGAUCAAUGUAAUUCUCUAAAAUGUCCAAUCUACUAGAUUAAAUUAUGUUGGGCGAAUGUGAACCAAUGUAGUAUGUACAACAGCACUCGAAAAUUAUUUUUCCUGUUGACAUUACUGAAAUUUUAGUUUUACCAUCACAGGAGUAAAUUACAUUUUAAAAUAUAUUACAAUAUGUAAUAAUAUAGUAAUAUGUAAAAAUAUUUCAUAAUCACAUUACUGUUUUUACAGUAUUUUGAUCAAAUAAAUGCAACCUUGGUGAGCAGAAGAGACUUCUUUCAAAAACAUGAAAAAAAUCUUACCAACCCCAAACUUUUGAACGGUACUGUUCACAUUAAAAUAGAGUUCUUUCAACUCUAUGUUAAGGGGGGCUCCAGAAAGUCAGGUAAAUAAAAUCAAUUUUAUUUUUAUUUUAUUUUGCCUGAACUAUUCCUUUAACAAAGCAUUUAGUAAGUUGUUUUGUAUGCAGGAUCAGCGCUGAUCAGUACUGUAAUCAUCUUGUUCUUAUCUGGCCUGUUCUUGGGCCGGCUCAAACAUGUGUCUGGGCGUACAGCAGGGGUCAAGGUGUCAGGUUCGUCGGCUGAGGUGUACGUGUGUCCAGCUCAGAGGUGAGAGGUUGUAUGUGAGCAGCAGGAAGGCUGGGUGUGCGUUUCAUUCUGUCACUGGUUGACAAGGCCAUCUCCCUGACACAGCAGGGGCUGAGGCCCCUCUCAAUAAUUCAGCGCCAGAGAUCCCUUUAGAGACGCCGAGCCUACAGGUAGGAAGGCGCCGCUUGGGGAAGAUCUCUGACAGAUGCAACGUGGAUUCCUUAGUACAAACAUUAACUUGGGAAAGGGUGAAACCACGGUAUAAAAGAGGUGAAAAAACCACUGGUAUCGGUGACAAAAGCAGUACAACCGGUUUGUCCAGUACUGCUCCACUGUUUUGGUUCUCACCGUUCUGCACAAAGCGCAGUGGUCUUGCAGCAGUAAGGCAAACAAAACCGCUAUUGUCUUGGCGGAUAUUUUCUGAACGAAGGGCGGGUAAUCUGAUCUAGCUCGAUGCGCUGGGCCUGUGCUGCAUCAGCUUCAAUGCAACCUUGUCGUGUAUGAAGACUGUGAGGGGCCUUUGCACUUGUCAACUCACUUUCUGGCUGUUUAAUUCCUUUGAGAUAAUUUAGGCCGUAGUGUUUGAAACCAAAAUCUACAUUGGCUGAAAGUGAUAUAUAGUGCUGAUAAUAAUUUUUUGGCAUGUCUUUUGACAUUGUAGUCAGACUCCAAAGUCUGUAUUCUUCUGCCAGCAAUGCGUACUCAGGAAAUGACACUAAAACUAGGUUACCUAUUUCCAAAGGUUAUUGUUGAGACAAGUACAAAAAUAAGAGCCAUGAAGAUCCCGAAAAGGUUUUUUUUUUUUUUUUUUUUUCCCCACAGCAUAGAACAACUAUUUUGGAUUCCCCAAACAAGCUUUCAGUUAGGGCUGGAACUAACAAUAUUUUUUUAGAUUUAUCAAAUAAUCUAACUUAUUUUUUCCUGGUUAAUCUAUUGUUUAUUUUCUGAAUAGUCAAUUUAUCCUUUGGUUAAUUUACCAACAAAUAAUCACCGUAACUAAUCCAUGUAUGAACUUAUAAUGACCUAAUAAUACGAUUUAUCACAAAAAAAAUAGGGUUUAUGCAGUGUAGGCCUAAUAAGGAAAAUUGCAUUCAGAGUCAGUUUUUGGGAUUUACAGCAGCAAAUGCUUACAAGUGUAAAUCCUGAAAUGUUUUGUUCAUUCAGGAGAUUAAAACAGCUUGAAUAUGUUCAUUCAGCUGUAUGAUAGAACACCUGAAGCCACAAACGCAUUCCAACUAACCAUAGCGUUAACCAUAAAACCGUGAAGUUUUACAACAAUUGACAGUGCAUUAUCAAAUUAAUGAGUUCAAUCAAGGCGUGAAUUCAUCCAUUAGAUAUUUUAAAUGACCAACAACAGUGUAAAAUGCUUUGUAACUGGUUGCGGAGAGUACAUUUGGGCCACGCGUCUCACAGCCUUGCACCCACUGCAGUUUGUUUAAAACUGAAUGCUGUACGAACGCAGCCGUAUUAAGCACAAAAUAUGGGACUGACAACCGUAUUCUAGCACUGUGUAAAAAAUGCACAGUAAUAGUCCAAAUGCUUGUGCUGCCAUCUCAUCGGUUUGAGGUAGGAGAGCCCUAUUAUGUUUUCUUUUCAGAUGCUCCUACAUAGAAGCUGUGCUGCUGUGAGGAAUGCCAUUUCAGUUUUACAGAGCAUCAUUUGAUUUGUUCUCCGUUUUAAAAAUUCCCACACUUUAGACUGGGCUCAUUAUUUUUGUAAUAACGGCUGAUUUUCAGCAUCGACGUAAUUGAUUGCGUCAACGAGUCGUUUCAGCCCUACAGAGAACGGUUCUUAAAAGGACCAAUUUUUCCUUUGUAUGAAGAACAUUUUUUUUCCACUAUAAAUAACCUUUUUUUCCAUGGAUGUUAAAAGUUCUUCAUGAAACCACAGAUGCCAAUAAAGAACCUUGAUUUUUAAGAGCGUAGACACAACAAUAAUAUGAGAAGACAUCAAUGUUUAAUAAAUGAUUAAAUGAAUUUAUUAACAGCCACCAUAAAACAGCUCCUCAGCUGAGUAAAAUAGUCCAUUAUCCUAACUGUAGUUUAUUUACAUAUUUGCAACAAAUGAUAUGCGGUCACAGGUAUAUAUCAGUUAUUUUCCAAUGGCUUCGAAGACUCAAAUAAAUUUAGAUUUUGAACUAUCCAUUUCAUAGUUAAGCAAAAAGAUAUGACAGAAUGCGAAAUGAGAAUAUAAGGCCAAGGCUAAAGGGUUGUAUUAGGCACAAUGGAGAAGAAACCUCAUCGUUCUUUCUGUGACGGUCAACUGACCAGUGCAGAAUGCCCAGGGGUGAGUCAAAAGACAGAAAUAUGAGCUUGAGAGGACAGCAAAUCACCGCAAACCCCCUCUGUCUCUAUCCCUAAAUGUCAAAUGGAGUUUCAGUUACCACAUUCACACCAUCCACCCAGAUGCAUCUAAGAGUCUGGAUGCAAAUAGAUCAAGGGAUCAGUGUGUUUAAUUCAUACCAAUUAAACAGUCAAAAGUCAAAUGGACUUUGGCUCAAAACAGUAGCUCAAGUGUAAAAUUGCCAAAAAUAAAGAUCCAGCAGUGUCAAAGAAUCAUUUCAUCCUGAGACUGAAUCUUCUAGCAAUCUUCUGAAAUAUCUAGCUCAAGACAGACCAUCCUCACAAUUCUAUAAGGUAGAACAUCCCCCUUCCUGUGAAUAAAAACUGCUGUUGAACACCUUUGCCGGUACUGCAGAGGAAAAGCAGCAUGAGCUCAUUAAAAAGUCCUGCGCUUGCAUUUAGUGGCAGAUAUCUGACCAUUAUUCCACACGACCUUAUCAAUUAUGAGUGAGCUGCUGUUUUUAGAUGUGCAAUCCUCUCACCUCGCUCUGAAAUGGGAUGGGAAACGGAGCCAAAAGAAGCCCGCAUUAAACCGGCGUCAGCUGCUGAGCUUUUAAUUAAAUAUGAGAUUAGCUGAAAAUGUGGAAAAACGCUGAAAAACAAAUGCCUCUGGGUCCUGUUCAUACGGCACCAGGAAAUUCAUGUUUCAGUGGCAGUGUGAAGAUCCAGUAAACGGAAGUCAAGGAGCUUGUUAUGAUGCCCCAGUGGAGUUGAAGACCCCAGAGUAUAUGAAGAUAAAAAACAAAAAACCCUGUGAACCACAGAUUUGAUUUGCUCACAAUUGUGCAAAUACAUGGUGCUUGGCAAGUGUUUCUUUCAGACUGAUUUCAGAGUUUUACAUGUGCCACAGAGAGGCACAGAAAUUACAGACUUCACUUUUAAGUACAGUACUAUUCAAAGUUUGGGGUCAGAAAGUUUUUUUUUUUUUUUUUUUUUUU